GACGAACGCUGGCGGCGUGCUUAACACAUGCAAGUCGAGCGGUAAGGCCCUUUCGGGGGUACACGAGCGGCGAACGGGUGAGUAACACGUGGGUGACCUGCCCUCAGCUCUGGGAUAAGCCCGGGAAACUGGGUCUAAUACCGGAUAUGACUCCAUGACGCAUGUUGUGGGGUGGAAAGCCUUGUGCGGCUGAGGAUGGGCCCGCGGCCUAUCAGCUUGUUGGUGGGGUGAUGGCCACCAAGGCGACGACGGGUAGCCGGCCUGAGAGGGCGACCGGCCACACUGGGACUGAGACACGGCCCAGACUCCUACGGGAGGCAGCAGUGGGGAAUAUUGGACAAUGGCGCAAGCCUGAUCCAGCCAUGCCGCGUGGGUGAUGAAGGCCCUAGGGUUGUAAAGCCCUUUCGGCGGGGAAGAUAAUGACGGUACCCGCAGAAGAAGCCCCGGC
rnacentral:rRNA from 1 species